rnacentral:lncRNA from 1 species
GGAGAUUGUAAUGUUGCACAUCCGAGAUGUUCUGUGAUCAAUGAGUCCUUUUUUAGCUCUGCAAGUUUGACUCACCAACAGUGUAGCCGUGUGUGUUAGCGACACAUUGUCUCGUCGCGGAAUAGGGCCCGGGUACCCCAAGAGCGCGUCGCUUGCUGAACGAUCGUUAAACCUUUUGCUCAGUUGCAACCUACUUCGACUUACCACGAGCAUUGGUUUCUAACUUGAAUACAUGAACGUCCAGUUCCCACACCGUAAUCCGUCUGCGUCUUCCCAGCCAGCAGCACUACAUGCGCUAGUCUCAUGUUCCAACGUGUGUCAUGAUUCUGUCCGCUACCGCGCUCUUGCUAUAUUUUGUGCAGCCGGUCAAUUUACUUUUGACGCUGAUACCGAGCAACCACUUCUGAAAAUUCUGCCCAUCCGGGGGGAAGGAACACCGUCUGUAAGUAUCGUGCUCGGAAAUUUAGACCUUGAGGAUAGUGAGAAGGUCUUGUUUAUAAUUGAAGUAGACAGUAGAUGUUUUAGCACCAAACAAAAAAAAACAGCACUCAAUGUACAGCAUCGCCAUCAGAUCGUUAAACGCUCACAGUACUAUACGCUGUACACUGUCUAUCAGCAACUUCUGUUGGUGGGGUGUACGAAUUGUUGACAGGUGUAGAUGUUGCAUCCUGGCACUGCGACGGCUUUGUGCUUUCUGUUGCUUUGAAAGGGCCACAUCAAGUGCCCUGAAGAACAUACACCUGGAGACGAAUACGCAGACAGCAGGGGGCCCGCCCAAACGCUUAGCACCUUUCGAACUCCCUGACUCACCGCCUUCUUCAUGGUGCGGCAGCCAGUCCCUCUCAUUACUCGUGAGUAAACUGUCGUCCUCCUGACAACGCUGAAGGAAUCAGCGGCACCGGAAGUCCAGUGGCGCAAGAAAGCAGCUGACUGUACAAAGCCACAUUUUAUUUCAUUUGCUGGAAGUUGCACUUCCCCCCACAGCGGGCUGGACGCCAGCCUGUUGCUGCAGAGGAUCCGGAAUAAACAAUCGAAAAGAACUCCUGCCGGCUCUCCAGCAUCCAACAUCUUGUUCCGACUUACGCGUCCCUCCUGAUCGCUCUGUUGAGGUGCUGAGCCACCAUGAUGCGUACCUUCGUCGGGAGGCAUGGCUUCGGUACCCCCAACAGGCACCUGCUGUAGAAGCCUUCUAGGUUUUGGAUUCUCCUGAUGGCUAUGCCCCCCGUCCACCGGCAGCGUCGAUACUUCCCGUCUGGUGUCGAUGGAGUCCAGUGACUUUGGAUUCCCCUCCGCAAAGUCCCCGCCGCCGGAGUGUAUCUCCAAACCUCCAGGGAGGGGUGGCAGAUGAAGCGCCCCUGUACCAAACUGGUACCUUCGUCCUGAAGGGUAUCGGCGAAGACCAAGUGCGACGGCAAUCCUUGGAGGACGACUUGCAGGGAAAGGUUGAGCGCCGGGUGAUUCGACGCCUUCCUUGGUUGCUGGAACUUCUCCGGGUAACUCUUGCUGCGGCAAGGUGCCACCUUCCUUUGAGGGCAAGGCAUCAGCCUCGUCUCUCUGAGCUUCUUUUGCGGGCUCCCGUGGCUCGCUUCGGCGAGGCGCAGUGUCAUCUAUUGUCGGUGGAUAUGGAACAGUAGGUGGAACUGCCGUGCCAGGCGGCACUAAAAGGUACUUCACCCACUUCCCCCCCGGCGUCUCCACUGGCGCAGCGGUCGUCGUGGUCGAACUAGUUGUAGAUGAAGCAACUGUUUCCUUUUCGGAUUCCGCUACUGCCACAGGACGCGUGCCGCCUCUACGGAGAUUCCGAUUACCUUUUUGCGGUACUGGCUGCGGCAACGUGAAGCCUUCUUCCUUGUGCGUGGAAUCCUCCUUCUCCGUUUUCUGUAUGUCUGCUUCGGGCGCAGCUUCCUGCUUGGCGGUAUCUGGCGCUUCUCUACUCUUUACAACGCCGCCAGUAUGACGUCCAUGCCGAGGCCCCCGCUCCGUCUGCAAGGCGCUACGCACUGGUUGAUCAUCGUCUGUUUCCUGUUCUCUGCUAAGAGAGGGGGGCUCGCAGUAUAACCAGUCCUGCCCCACAAAUCCAAAAACAGUGCCGCCAACCUCGAAAUUACAGCGAGUUGCCUAAC